rnacentral:rRNA from 1 species
UAGGUGUUAGGCCCNUCCGGGGCUUAGUGCCGCAGCUAACGCAUUAAGCACUCCGCCUGGGGAGUACGACCGCAAGGUUGAAACUCAAAGGAAUUGACGGGGGCCCGCACAAGCGGUGGAGCAUGUGGUUUNAUUNNNANGCAACGCGAAGANCCUUACCAGGUCUUGACAUCCCUCUGACCGCUCUAGAGAUAGAGUUUUCCUUCGGGACAGAGGUGACAGGUGGUGCAUGGUUGUCGUCAGCUCGUGUCGUGAGAUGUUGGGUNNANUNNNNNNNNCGAGCGCAACCCCUAUUGUUAGUUGCCAUCAUUGAGUUGGGCACUCUAGCGAGACUGCCGGUAAUAAACCGGAGGAAGGUGGGGAUGACGUCAAAUCAUCAUGCCCCUUAUGACCUGGGCUACACACGUGCUACAAUGGCAGGUACAACGAGUCGCAAGCCGGUGACGGCAAGCUAAUCUCUGAAAGCCAGUCUCAGUUCGGAUUGUAGGCUGCAACUCGC